ACCGCUGCGUUUCUUUGCUCCCACACAGACCUGCCCUCGCGCUAGUCAACAAUGCAAAUGAGAAAUUCGGAGUAAUCUUCACCUUCCACAGUCACCCUCAUCGCAACUCUCGCAAGAGAGCAAAACUGCAACGAGCUCUGACUCACUGCCCGCGAGGGCCUACCAUGGUACUCAUGGCUGCACUUUGGCAUCAGAAAUUUCAGCCUACCUCUUGAGAAAUUGGGAGGGGGCUAUGGGAGCCGGUGCGGAGAUUGUGUGUGCUUCGGCACGAUCACUUUAGUGCAAUACGCGGCGUAUUUCUUGCUUGAUCUCGGGGUGCUUACGGCCUCUCGGGGUUGGGGAGGGGUAUAAUUCGAUUCCGAUUACUCUGGU
rnacentral:RNase_P_RNA from 2 species